AUUGAACGCUGGCGGCAGGCCUAACACAUGCAGGUCGAGCGGAUGAAGGGAGCUUGCUCCUGGAUUCAGCGGCGGACGGGUGAGUAAUGCCUAGGAAUCUGCCUGGUAGUGGGGGAUAACGUCCGGAAACGGGCGCUAAUACCGCAUACGUCCUGAGGGAGAAAGUGGGGGAUCUUCGGACCUCACGCUAUCAGAUGAGCCUAGGUCGGACUAGCUAGUUGGUGGGGUAAAGGCCUACCAAGGCGACGAUCCGUAACUGGUCUGAGAGGAUGAUCAGUCACACUGGAACUGAGACACGGUCCAGACUCCUACGGGAGGCAGCAGUGGGGAAUAUUGGACAAUGGGCGAAAGCCUGAUCCAGCCAUGCCGCGUGUGUGAAGAAGGUCUUCGGAUUGUAAAGCACUUUAAGUUGGGAGGAAGGGCAGUAAGUUAAUACCUUGCUGUUUUGACGUUACCAACAGAAUAAGCACCGGCUAACUUCGUG
rnacentral:rRNA from 1 species